AUUGAACGCUGGCGGAAGGCCUAACACAUGCAAGUCGAUCGAGCGGCGGACGGGUGAGUAAUGUCUGGGAAACUGCCUGAUGGAGGGGGAUAACUACUGGAAACGGUAGCUAAUACCGCAUACCAUCAGAUGUGCCCAGCUGGGAUUAGCUAGUAGGUGGGGGAACGGGUCACCUGGGCGACGAUCCCUAGCUGGUCUGAGAGGAUGACCAGCAACACUGGAACUGAGACACGGUCCAGACGCAUCGGGGAGGCAGCAGUGGGGAAUAUUGCAAAAUGGGCGCAUGCCUGAUGCAGGCAUGCCGCGUGUGUGAAGAGGGCCUGCGGGUUGGAAAGCACUUUCAGCGGGGAGGCGUUACCCGCAGAAGAAGCACCGGCUAACUCCGUGCCAGCAGCCGCGGUAAUAC
rnacentral:rRNA from 1 species